rnacentral:rRNA from 14 species
GGUUUAGAACGUCGUGAGACAGUUCGGUCCCUAUCUACUGUGGGCGUUGGAGAUUUGAGGGAAGCUGAUCCUAGUACGAGAGGACCGGAUUGGACGAACCUCUGGUGUUCCGGUUGUCAAGCCGUUGGCAUUGCCGGGUAGCUAUGUUCGGACGGGAUAACCGCUGAAAGCAUCUAAGCGGGAAGCCCCCCUCGAAACCAGUAAUCGCUUGAGAACCGUGGGAGACCACCACGUUGAUAGGCCAGGUGUGGAAGCGCAGUAAUGUGUGAAGCUAACUGGUACUAAUUGUUCGAUUGGCUUGAU